rnacentral:rRNA from 1 species
UGGGGAAUAUUGGACAAUGGGCGCAAGCCUGAUCCAGCCAUGCCGCGUGAGUGAAGAAGGCCUUCGGGUUGUAAAGCUCUUUUGUCCGGAAAGAAAUCCUGUCGGCUAAUACCCGGCGGGGAUGACGGUACCGGAAGAAUAAGCACCGGCUAACUUCGUGCCAGCAGCCGCGGUAAUACGAAGGGUGCAAGCGUUACUCGGAAUUACUGGGCGUAAAGCGUGCGUAGGUGGUUCGUUAAGUCUGAUGUGAAAGUCCUGGGCUCAACCUGGGAACUGCAUUGGAUACUGGCGAUCUGGAGUGCGGUAGAGGGUAGCGGAAUUCCCGGUGUAGCAGUGAAAUGCGUAGAUAUCGGGAGGAACAUCCGUGGCGAAGGCGGCUACCUGGACCAGCACUGACACUGAGGCACGAAAAGCGUGGGGAGCAAACAGGAUUAGAUACCCUGGUAGUCCACGCCCUAAAACGAUGCGAACUGGAUGUUGGGUGCAACUUGGCACUCAGUAUCGAAGCUAACGCGUUAAGUUCGCCGCCUGGGAAGUACGGUCGCAAGACUGAAAACUCAAAGGAAUUGACGGGGUCAUAGCUGUUUCCU